CCAAUAGCGUAUAUUAAAGUUGUUGCAGUUAAAAAGCUCGUAGUUUAAUUUCGAGAUCAAAUUGUUGGUCGUGCCUUGGUACGCACUGGCAUUAUUGGUUUCUCCCUUCUGACGAACCUUGAUGUCAUUAAUUUGGUGUCUUGGGAAAUCAGGACUGUUACUUUGAAAAAAUUAGAGUGUUUAAAGCAGGCUCACGCUUGAAUACAUUAGCAUGGAAUAAUGAAAUAGGACGUUUGAUUCUAUUUUGUUGGUUUCUAGGAUCGACGUAAUGAUUAAUAGGGAUAGUUGGGGGCAUUAGUAUUCAAUUGUCAGAGGUGAAAUUCUUGGAUUUAUUGAAGACUAACUACUGCGAAAGCAUUUGCCAAGGAUGUUUUCAUUAAUCAAGAACGAAAGUUAGGGGAUCGAAGACGAUCAGAUACCGUCGUAGUCUUAACCAUAAACUAUGCCGACUAGGGAUCGGAUGAUGUUAAUUUUUUAAUGACUCAUUCGGCGCCUUACG
rnacentral:rRNA from 1 species